rnacentral:lncRNA from 1 species
CCUCCCCAACCCACACGCCAUCAACCUCCAGACCCUCUCGCCGUGGCUUAGAGGUGUCUCUGACAACGUGGCACACUGGGAAGGCCUUCUUUCCUGCUACCAAUACAAAUGCAUUCUGAAUUUGAUAUGUCAUUAAAUGUAAAAAUACAGCCAAUUUGAAACAAGCAAAUGGAAAUUCCCAGGAACCAAAAACAGAAAGAAAAAUCAGAGCUACCGCAGUGCUGUCCCUGCAGACAGAAUUUGGGAGAGGUACUCAGAGUCACCUCCUGUGAGCCUAUGCAAGCCAGCUCCUGCACAACCCUGGUUUUAGUCCAGCCUUCUGCAGAAUUCCACAUUAAACAGGAUGAAGAAUAGGUUGUUAGCAGACUGAGGUACUUGGGGCAACAUUUCGUACACAACAGGAGGGAGAAACGACUCCAGGUUGUCUUGUGGUAGAGGAGAUUUUGCCUUGCAAUUUUACAUACUUAUGCUACGUGGAAGGCUGGGUGGCGUGACUUCAGAAAAAUGUUUCCUCAGGAAAGAGACACACAGAGAGAGAGAGAAAGAGAGAAAGAGAGAACCCACCUACCUGUUUUGCAAAAGUCUCAUGAAUCAUCCCUUCCUGUGGUCCUGCUCCCUGAGAUCCUUUCACCGCUCACAGUGGGCUACUUCUAAGAGCGUGCCUGGCACAGGGUCACUGAGAGCAUAGUCUUAAUAAAACAAUGAUGGAUGCUUGUCUCUCUCA